rfam:Streptoalloteichus hindustanus strain DSM 44523 genome assembly, contig: Ga0131095_106
CCGGCACCGGUUCACCCCUACGUGUAGUAGCCCGGGGACCCGGCGGCC